GGAUCCCUGACCUCGGCAAGCAGGAGGAGCCUAGUGGCGGCCUCUCUGCUCCUUGCGCUGACGAAGCCGGCUGGACGCAGGAGAACAAGGUUCAGAGAUCCACGUCUCUCUGUGGAGCCAAACAGACAAGGAAGAAGAAGCGGUUUUCAUUCGGAAAAGCUCCCAGAGGAGGUGCCGAGCUCACUAAAUUUCCAGAGAUCUCAACCAGGAAAUGCCCUUCUCUGAGCUGAAGCCUCCGCAGCCCCGGCCAUUCCCUCGGAUGCCUGCGGUGGCCCCAUCCGCCCACCCCAGGUCACCCCCUCCACUCUGGUGUCACUUGUCUUUGGCAUCCUGUGCAAUGGGCUAGUUCCACGAAGCUCAAAGCUCGGUCUACCCCUGCCUCACUCCCUCCCCCGUGCCACCCCCCACCCCAGCC